UACGUAGGGUGCGAGCGUUGUCCGGAAUUACUGGGCGUAAAGAGCUCGUAGGCGGCUUGUCGCGUUGUCCGUGAAAAUUUACCGCUCAACGGUGAACUUGCGGGCGAUACGGGCAGGCUAGAGUACUGCAGGGGAGACUGGAAUUCCUGGUGUAGCGGUGAAAUGCGCAGAUAUCAGGAGGAACACCGGUGGCGAAGGCGGCUCUCUGGAAGAUUCCUGACUCUGAGACACGAAAGCUAGGGGAGCAAACGGG
rnacentral:rRNA from 1 species